rfam:Manacus vitellinus contig8258, whole genome shotgun sequence.
UAGGCAGAAGCCUGUUGGUUAGGGCAUUUAGCUGUUAACUAAAAUUUUAUGGGAUCAAAGCCCAUCUGUCUAG